rnacentral:rRNA from 1 species
AGUGAACGCUGGCGGUAGGCCUAACACAUGCAAGUCGAACGGCAGCACAGAGGAGCUUGCUCCUUGGGUGGCGAGUGGCGGACGGGUGAGGAAUACAUCGGAAUCUACUCUGUCGUGGGGGAUAACGUAGGGAAACUUACGCUAAUACCGCAUACGACCUACGGGUGAAAGCAGGGGAUCUUCGGACCUUGCGCGAUUGAAUGAGCCGAUGUCGGAUUAGCUAGUUGGCGGGGUAAAGGCCCACCAAGGCGACGAUCCGUAGCUGGUCUGAGAGGAUGGUCAGCCACACUGGAACUGAGACACGGUCCAGACUCCUACGGGAGGCAGCAGUGGGGAAUAUUGGACAAUGGGCGCAAGCCUGAUCCAGCCAUACCGCGUGGGUGAAGAAGGCCUUCGGGUUGUAAAGCCCUUUUGUUGGGAAAGAAAUCCAGCCGGCUAAUACCUGGUUGGGAUGACGGUACCCAAAGAAUAAGCACCGGCUAACUUCGUGCCAGCAGCCGCGGUAAUACGAAGGGUGCAAGCGUUACUCGGAAUUACUGGGCGUAAAGCGUGCGUAGGUGGUCGUUUAAGUCCGUUGUGAAAGCCCUGGGCUCAACCUGGGAACUGCAGUGGAUACUGGGCGACUAGAGUGUGGUAGAGGGUAGCGGAAUUCCUGG